rnacentral:misc_RNA from 1 species
UCUAAGGAGCACUCUUUCCCAAUUUAGAUAGGGAUUGAGAGGUCGACGGCUAAGUCAAUCGGCAAAAGGGAAUAAUGGGGAUUGAUUGAUAUGCUGUAAAGACCUGGUGGAGCGAAAGGCUGCCAGGCUCAAAAGACUGAAACGAUAGCGCACAACUCAGUUUUUGCUGAUCAUCGCGAGACCGGACAGAGACAACGAAACGUCGACCCGGCUUAAAACGGACUAAUCUCACCCUGGAGCGCCGCGCGCGCAACGCGGGCGGAGCUUUGUUGGUUGACGCCGUUGAUCCGGCGCCCGCCCGGACUGAAAAUUUCCGGGGGUAUAGCUCAGUUGGUAGAGCGGUAGCUUUGCAAGCUAUAGGUCAGGGGUUCGAAUCCCCUUACCUCCAAACUUCGCUCUCUUGCCUUGGCAGAGAACUUUGUUUGGCAAGUCCGAGCUUUGAAGCACCUGAACUGUGUCCGGGCCCAGCUCCCUAAGCUUGGAAGCGACGGGAGCGUUUUAAACCUGUGGGAACCUGACUCCGGGCCUGUAGCUCAGUUGGUUAGAGCAUGCGCUUGAUAAGCGCAGGGUCACUGGUUCGAGCCCAGUCAGGCCCAGACUUUAUCCCGGUUCAGACCGGGGUCGUGUCUGGUAAGAUUGAAAGCAAGACCGGACAGGCGAAUCGCCGCGAUGCGAAAGCAAAACACACCAUUUUGACGUUUGGUAAGAGUUAAAACUUGAGCCAGACCCUUUUACCGCAAUAAGCGGAAAAGCGUUCUUUGACAUCUGCAUAUAGGGUAGAAAAUACAACUUUGGAGAAUGAAAUGGAGGUUCGCCUUCAUUUCGACAGAUAUCAAAAUAAUCAAGCUACUAAGGGCGUAUGAUGAAUGCCUUGGUGCCAAUAGGCUAUGAAGGACGUGGUAAGCUGCGAUAAGCUACGGAUAGCCGGCAAACACGCUUUGACCCGUAGAUUU